rnacentral:rRNA from 1 species
AUUGAACGCUGGCGGCAGGCUUAACACAUGCAAGUCGAGCGAGCGGCGGACGGGUGAGUAAUGACUGUGAAACUGCGUGAUGGAGGGGGAUAACUACUGGAAACGGUAGCUGAUACCGCAUAACAUCAGCUGGGCCCAGUUGGGAAUAGCUAGUAGGUGGGGUAAUGGCUGACCUAGGCGACGAUCCCUAGCUGGUCUGAGAGGAUGAUCAGCCACACUGGAACUGAGACACGGUCCAGAAUCCUACGGGAGGCAGCAGUGGGGAAUAUUUGACAAUGGGCGCAAGCCUGAUGCAGCCAGGCCGCGUGUGUGAAGAAGGCCGUCGGAUUGUAAAGCACUUUCAGCUGGGAGGCGUUACUCGCAGAAGAAGCACCGGCUAACUCCGUGCCAGCAGCCGCGGUAAUAC